UACGUAGGGUGCAAGCGUUAAUCGGAAUUACUGGGCGUAAAGCGUGCGCAGGCGGUUGUGCAAGACAGAUGUGAAAUCCCCGGGCUUAACCUGGGAACUGCAUUUGUGACUGCACGGCUAGAGUGUGUCAGAGGGGGGUAGAAUUCCACGUGUAGCAGUGAAAUGCGUAGAUAUGCGGAGGAACACCGAUGGCGAAGGCAAUCCCCUGGGCCUGCACUGACGCUCAUGCACGAAAGCGUGGGGAGCAAACAGG
rnacentral:rRNA from 1 species